rnacentral:rRNA from 1 species
GAUGAACGCUGGCGGCGUGCCUAAUACAUGCAAGUCGAGCGAACGGACGAGAAGCUUGCUUCUCUGAUGUUAGCGGCGGACGGGUGAGUAACACGUGGAUAACCUACCUAUAAGACUGGGAUAACUUCGGGAAACCGGAGCUAAUACCGGAUGAUAUUUUGAACCGCAUGGUUCAAAAGUGAAAGACGGUCUUGCUGUCACUUAUAGCUGGUUCCGCGCUGCAUUAGCUAGUUGGUAAGGUAACGGCUUACCAAGGCAACGAUGCAUAGCCGACCUGAGAGGGUGAUCGGCCACACUGGAACUGAGACACGGUCCAGACUCCUACGGGAGGCAGCAGUAGGGAAUCUUCCGCAAUGGGCGAAAGCCUGACGGAGCAACGCCGCGUGAGUGAUGAAGGUCUUCGGGUCGUAAAACUCUGUUAUUAGGGAAGAACAUAUGUGUAAGUAACUGUGCACAUCUUGACGGUACCUAAUCAGAAAGCCACGGCUAACUACGUG